AUAUGAGAAAAUCUACACAGUACUCUCUAAGAAGUUCAUUUUUUAAGAUUCUGUUUUGUUUUUAAUCGUGUCUAUGUGUGUGCAGGUGCUUGCAGAGGCCAGAAAAGGAAGUAAGAUCACCUGGAACUAGAAAUUCAGACAGUAGUAAGGCACCAGUAGGCACUGUGUAUUCACUACUUCAAGCCAGGGACAGCAUGCCAGGAGGAUAUGACUCCCUUUGCAGAAGCUUUGGAAGGGGGGAAAAAGCAAAGAAACAACCCAACAAUGCCAAAAGAAAAGAAGAAAAAGGAAAAACCCACAAAAUUCUGUUCUGUAUACUGGUUUGUUUUACUCGGAGAAACGGCUUGGUUCUACCCUGCAGCCCGCAUUCAUUACCGUGAUCUUUGACUGGCAGAUGCAGAGUAAUAGGACGCAUAUUUUAGUGCUUAUUAUAAUACCCUGUCCAAAAACAACUUGACAAAUUUGUGAUUUCGACAAUAUCUCAUUUUGCUGGCUGCAGCGCUCUGUGAUUGUCUGGCCCACGUGGCUUCCCGAUUAUGCAUACCACCAAUACUUCUCAUUAAAAUGGCCACAGUUCACCA